rnacentral:rRNA from 1 species
GUGGGGAAUCUUCCGCAAUGGACGAAAGUCUGACGGAGCAACGCCGCGUGAGUGAAGAAGGUUUUCGGAUCGUAAAGCUCUUUCGUUAGGGACGAACGUGCUCUUUGUGAAUAAUGAGGAGUAAUGACGGUACCUAAAUAAGAAGCCACGGCUAACUACGUGCCAGCAGUCGCGGUAAUACGUAGGUGGCAAGCGUUGUCCGGAAUUAUUGGGCGUAAAGCGCGCGCAGGCGGGAUAUCAAGUCUGUCUUAAAAGUGCGAGGCUCAACCUCGUGAGGGGACAGAAACUGGUAUUCUUGAGUGUCGGAGAGGAAAGUGGAAUUCCAAGUGUAGCGGUGAAAUGCGUAGAGAUUUGGAAGAACACCAGUGGCGAAGGCGACUUUCUGGACGAUGUCUGACGCUGAGGCGCGAAAGCUAGGGGAGCGAACGGGAUUAGAAACCCGAGUAGUCC